CCGAUUGACAGCAUCAUCUGCAGUGUUCAUUUGCUCUGAGUUCCCACGUACAUCUGACGAAGAAUUAUCUGAGUUAUGGGCAACGUGAUCCUUUUCAGGAUCCACACUUAUGUGGUUUAACUCAUGGCUCCCACUAGGGUAAAUGACCGGCUCAGGUGAUUGAUUCCAUGGGGAGCCCGGGUCAGAGUCUCCAUCAUCUUUUAUGUUAGACUCAUGGUCUACAUGGUUUAACUCAUGGCUCUCACUAAGGCAAGCAAUCUGCUCAGGAGACUGAUUCCAUGGAGAACCCUGGCCACCAUCCACAUUUUCUUCUAUGUUAGACUCAUGGUUUGUUGCUACAAUUUCCUUCUUAUCCUGUGGUGGACUUUCAGGGUUCUCUCUUGUUUCAU
rnacentral:lncRNA from 1 species